rnacentral:lncRNA from 1 species
GCCCAGGUCCAAGGCUUACAAAGACAAGAGGAAGAACAAAAAAGUGCUGGAGAACUCCAACUGAAAGAAGACUCUGCAAUAUGGAAAUAAAACAAAACCCACCACCACCAUCAAAAAAUGAAAGUACAGACUACCAGCGCAGGGCUGGUACGGCACGGGGCGGCGGACACAACCUGGAGGUUCGGCAGGCCGCCACCAGCAGCGCGAGCUGCGCCAAGAGCCCGGCAGCGGCGUUAUCGCACCGAACUGCGGGCACCAAGGAGCGCUGCCCAGCAGCAUCUGCGGGCCCUGCACCGCGAGUUGCAGGGCAAAGGUUUUCUACGUGCCAUUACGGUUUUAUAUCGUACUUCAGAAGCCUUCUGCUCAAGCUGAAGGAGAGACAUUUUAGUGCCUCACAUAAAAUAAACCGCCUGUGCCGGGAGGUACUUGUAAAAAGCGAGACCCCUCCAACAGGCGGAUGCUGCGCAUCCCCGUGUUUCCUGAGGCACUUUUACGCAUUGAUUCCUCCCUCAUAAAGUUGCGAGCUGCGCAUCAGACGGCUCCCUCCGCCCUGCCAGAUCCCCUCCCGCCCCCUACCCACCUGCUCCCCCCGAGCC